UACGUAGGUGACAAGCGUUGUCCGGAUUUACUGGGCGUAAAGAGCGCGCAGGCGGUCGUUCAAGUCGAGUGUGAAAGCCCCCGGCUCAACUGGGGAGGGUCACUCGAUACUGAUCGACUCGAAGGCAGGAGAGGGAAGUUGAAUUCCCGGUGUAGUGGUGAAAUGCGUAGAUAUCGGGAGGAACACCAGUGGCGAAGGCGACUUCCUGGCCUGUUCUUGACGCUGAGGCGCGAAAGCUAGGGGAGCAAACGGG
rnacentral:rRNA from 1 species